rnacentral:lncRNA from 11 species
GGCUUUUCUUUUCUGUAUAAUACUGAACAUAGGCUAGAAAAGAAAAAUAGAAAAUUGAAAGAUAUGGGGGAUCAUGGAAUACCAUGAUUGUGAGAAUGGAUGCCUGGAAAACUGGGUGUAAAUGUGCUUCCUAAUAGAUAAAUUACAUUGUAACAAUGGUGAUGGCCGACAGGGAGCUCUGGCAUGCACUGGUCCAUGAGGUCACAAAGAGUCGGAGACGACUAAACGACUGAGCAGCAGAAACAAUGCUUCUCCUAUCCAUCCAGCCUCUUUCCAGAGCCUCUCCCAAGAUUUCUGGGGGCCUCUCUCCUCCUGCUGCAGACAGUGAUCUGCCACCUGCCCCACAGUGUCCACCUGCUACCUUUCCCUUGUUUGGAGAGCUGAGUAACUUAAAGGGUGGGUGGGUUGGGCUAGAUGUACUACUAGUACUUUAUAUUAAUUUAUCUUAUCUUUCUUCUCUUCCCUGCUUUUCCUAUCCAUGGAGCAUCCAUCAUCCAUCCAUUGCAGUCUGAACCACAGCUGAGCUCAGUGAUAGCUGACAUCAAGCCUUCUAGACCUGGCAGCCAGCCACAGCCAGCAACCCCAGUCCCCAUCUUCUCCAGUUGCCAGUCGCCUGCCUGCCAGCCAAAACACUGCUACCUGCCUGCCUGCCCUGAAGUCAUCCUUCUCUCCCUGCCCCUGAGCCCCUUCAUUGCCCUAUUUGGGGCUGCCGCCAUCUUGCCUUCUGAUCUGGUGGAAUGUAACUUCUCCAAAAACAUUGGUUUUUCCCCCAAACAUGGCUAGAUUUCCUAAAAUACAUUUUCAAAAUUGUUUUUUUCAGUGGAUCAUGCUGGCGUGUUUUUCUUAUAAGGGGACAGGCUGCUUAUGAAUGAUGGCGUCUUUCAGUAUGUUGUGUUGACACAAGCAUGAGAACAAGAAAUGGAAAAGCUUAGGAAGAAAUUGCUGUUGUUUUUAUUACUAAAGAAACUUUAAUAAAUUUCUAUAAAUUGUGGGAUGUGUGGAACUCUGCAUCUUUCACAGUUUGGCAUGGUCCUACUGUUGCUUCUAUCUGUAAUUGGAGAAAUUAUGGGGGGGGGGAUUUUGGGUUUUAAAAAAAUUUCAUUUCUAGAAACUCCUAAAAUUAGGGGAUGACACAAACACUAUAAAACAUGGGAGGGUGACAGUGGGAAAUGUAUCCUCCAAGUGUGG